UGCAGGGCCGCGGAGCCGCGCGAUGGGGGAGAACAAGCGCCCCCCGCCCCCCCUGCGGGGCGGGGGGCGCUCCCCCAACCCCUGUCCGGCCCCAGACCGGGUCCUGGCUCUGGCCCGGCCUUGUCAACGGCCACAGCGCCGAGCAGGACCGAGCGGGGCCAUCCCCCAACCGGCCCCAUCAGUCAGGCAGUGCCGCAGCCCUGCCGCAGAGGAGAGGGCUGGGCCAGGCCGGCCGAGCACGAUCAGAGCUGCCGACGCCACUGCGGAGGCUGUUGCAGCAGCAGCUGGACCAGACGGAACUGGACGGGCCGGGCUGGGGGCCGGGAAGGGCAGGCAGAGCAGAGCUGAGCGGAGCAGAGCAGAGCUGGGCAGGCAGGGCAAAGCUGGGCUGGGCUGGGCUGAGCUGGACUGGGCUGGGCUGGGCUGGGCUGGGGUCGGAUGGAGGAGACCCGGACCGGACCGCUAUUCCGCUGUCUGUCCGUUGGGGGCUGGGCUGCCCCUCUUCUCCUGCUGGCUGGUGCUCCAGGGGACAGGCUGGUACGACCCUCUAGGGGCUGUAGAGUGGCUGCAGGGGCCACCUUGGCCAGUCCUGGGUCCCAGUCCAGGCUCCCUCCCCCACCCCAUGCCAACCACCCCAGGCGACUGCUUUGCCGCAUUGCGGGCUGGGCAGCGCUGGGUGUGCGCUGGGCAGUGCCGCAAUGCGGCAUGCCCAGGCCACCUGGGUCACCCCCACCCUGGGGGGAGGGGCACUGUCCUUUACCAGCCAGUGCCCCCACCUUCCCCAGGUCGGGUGGGACCUGCAGCUCCCCGUGGGCGGCAGACGGGUUCGCAGACCGCUGACCCCGACCUAGCCUAGCUUCGCUUUGCCUCUCCAGGCUGGUCAGGGCAUCAGCCGUGGCUACCGUACUGCCGCAUCAGCCUCCAGUGCUCCUCCUGAUCCUCCUGGUCCUCGUCCAUCCGUCCGUCGAGCUGUCCAGGCAGGUGGCAGGUGGCAGCGGUGGCGACUGGGUGGGCAACCCCAAACCCAAGCUGUGUCCAGCUGAGCCAUGGCGGAUGCUCUGUCGCCACCGCUGCCGCAGUCUGCUGUGGACGCCUGCCGCACUGCGCAUUGCGGUACUGCGGGCAGCGGGCACUGCGGCAAAGCGCGUCCACACCCCAUUCGAAUUAGCCCGGGAACCUGGGCCCGGCAUCCAGUGCCUCCUCAGCUCUAACAAUGUUUCCGAUAGUGCCCACGGCCUCCGGUGUGGUCCCAGCGAGGAUGGAGUCAACGCGGGUGCGAGUGGUGCAGAGCCGAACCCGACCAGCUGUCCCUGCUGCCUCCAAAAAAGGGUGUGCAUCUCUGGAAUCCAGGCAUCCCACUGAAGCAGAACCUGUCCUCGAAACCUCAUAGGACCCCAGGGAGAUGAAAGCAUUCACCGAGGAGUAUUCAGGAGGAG